rnacentral:rRNA from 1 species
AUACGGAGGGUCCAAGCGUUAUCCGGAAUCAUUGGGUUUAAAGGGUCCGCAGGCGGUCAAUUAAGUCAGAGGUGAAAGCCCAUCGCUCAACGAUGGAACUGCCUUUGAUACUGGUUGACUUGAGUUAUACGGAAGUAGAUAGAAUAAGUAGUGUAGCGGUGAAAUGCAUAGAUAUUACUUAGAAUACCGAUUGCGAAGGCAGUCUACUACGUAUAUACUGACGCUGAGGGACGAAAGCGUGGGGAGCGAACGGGAUUAGAUACCCUAGUAGUCC